GCAAUGACAUAUCCUUACUGGAAUCAACUUCUUUAUUUUUUCCUAAAUUUUGUAUCUGUCUUGGUCUCAGCUAUAUCCUUGUCUCUCUCUGAAUUUCUUGUAUAUAUCACCACUGUAAAAUUUCCUUGUCCUCACCACCAAAAUUAGUGAAACAAAAGCACCAAAUAAAGCAGCAGAAGCCAAAAUUAUAAACGGUUUCCUGUAACAUUCAACUCCAAUGCAAACCAAUUCCUUCACUGCUGAUCUAUCCAGACCCUUGGCUCUUAGCUGUUUUGUUGCCUCAUUAUCAUAUAAAAUUCCAGUGACCUGCACAUUCAGUAUGUAUGAACCAAGAGGACUUGCCAAUUGCCCACAGUUGAACAAUGUGGAGUAGUACUUUAGGCCAAAGAGCUCAGAAAUUAUGGCAAAAAGCAAAGGCAAUUGUGCACCAAAUGAGAAUCCCAUAAUCACCGAGGCAAUAUAGACUGAAUUGGGGAAAGGGAAGGCAAUGAUAAGGUGGCCUAUGCAGGAAAGGAGGAGGACAAAGGUCAUCAUCAAUGGCCUAGGGGUUUUGUACUUGACUAGCAUGGUUUCAGAGACAAAUCCAGCAAAGACCCUUCCAAAAUAAUUCCAUAUACUCACUAGGGAAACAAAGGAAUUGACUGUUUUAGUUGGAUAUCCUAGUGACUCACCAAUUUGACCCAAGUUGUCCACUGCUGUUAAGCUUGCACCAAGCCCGCAAAGUGUUGCAGCAAACAGGAUUAGCAUGUCAAUGCUAAGAAGUGCUUGUAAGAUGGUGUAGUCUUCACCUCUCUCUGGCUUGUCAAAUAUGGUGAGGAAGCAAGAUCUUUGAGCUUUCUCUUUUUCCUCUUUUGAGACACUAGACUUCACUGAUCCCUCAUCCUCUGAUGCAAUUUCACUUGGCUUCUGUAUGGUUAGUUCAGUAGGAGGCUUCAUUGCAUCCUCUUUCUUGAGGUUCCAUUGGACCCAUUCUUCUCUAAUGGCAAUUAGGAGAGGGACAAAAAGCAAAACACAAACCACAGUAGCACUUGCAGC
rnacentral:misc_RNA from 1 species